rnacentral:rRNA from 1 species
AUUGAGCGCUGGCGGCAGGCCUAACACAUGCAAGUCGAGCGGGGUUUUCGGACCUAGCGGCGGACGGGUGAGUAAUGCGUAGGAAGCUGCCCGAUAGAGGGGGAUACCAGUUGGAAACGACUGUUAAUACCGCAUAAUGUCUACGGACCAAAGUGUGGGACCUUCGGGCCACAUGCUAUCGGAUGCUCCUCGCGGCCUAUCAGCUAGUUGGUGGGGUAACGGCUCACCAAGGCUACGACGGGUAGCUGGUCCGAGAGGAUGGCCAGCCACAUUGGGACUGAGACACGGCCCAGACUCCUACGGGAGGCAGCAGUGGGGAAUAUUGGACAAUGGGCGAAAGCCUGAUCCAGCAAUGCCGCGUGGAGGAUGAAGAAUUUCGGUUCGUAAACUCCUGUCGAGCGGGACGAAAGAUGCGCGGGUUAAUACCCCGCGCAAGUGACGGUACCGCUAAAGGAAGCCCCGGCUAACUCCGUGCCAGCCGCCGCCGUAAAAC